CGACUUCCGAAUGUUGACUCACAGUCUGUGACGGGCCGAAGGGUAACUUCUGUAGAUAUAUAGAUAAAAUUCACUUGUUUUAUUCCCCAAGCCUAAAACUGAUCGAACUGAUCUACUACUAUAUCUUACAACGUGUUUAAAACAACAGAAUUUUUUUGUUUUAAUAUUUUAUUGAAUAUAGUAAUAUACAACUUAUAUAUAUACAAC
rnacentral:lncRNA from 1 species